CUUCUAUCUUUUCCCAUCAAUUUCUGUUGUUUUGGUCAAUUUAGCUCAGAGAUCCCGAUAAUUUGUGGAGGUUGUAGCUCAAAUUAGGUCGCAUCUUGGUAAAAUCUCUAGCUUUGUGAUCCUUUUCCCUGUUCCCUUGUUUCUUGCGUGCAAAAUAUCUGACCAGCAGCUUCGCCUUAUACCUAUGGAUGAACUCACCCAUUCUACUUUGAGAUCACGGUGCAGGUUUUCUAUCCGUCCACUUACCUCUCCCACUGGCGUGCACGGCGAGUGCGAUGGCAACGGCCAGUGGCCACUGGUGGCUAAAGCUGACUUGAUGCAUGUGUUAUGGAAGAUGAAACGUGAGGCAGCGGAGAGCUGGGGAUGCUAAUGUUGAUUUGCUCUGCACCAUUCCUCCAACGUGGAGAUCAGCAACGAGGGCAGGAACAAGCUUUGUGUACUCAAAAGGGACUUCACUUUCCUGAAUUUCUGAAUGCUUCACUCAAUUUGAUUCAGAUUAUGUGUGGCACUGACCGUAAUGCCCCUCUUUUGGAUUCAGUGUGAGGACACAAGCAGCUGGUGGUUAAGCUGGUUUGUACCAGCUGAGAGUCUGAGCUCCCAUGGUGUCUCACUCCGUGAAGAUCAUGGAGCUCAUUGCCAGAGCCAUUGUCGAGCCGUAGUUCAUCAGCUAGGGGCAGAGGAGGUCAUCACAAUAAUCUUUUGUGGCGCCUCCUCUAUUGUUUUACUUACUGUAAUUUCAGCUAUGUAAUUGGAUGUACUGGUGCUGCUGCAUCUUAAGAUGGAAGUACUCAUGCCUGAUGGAAGAUAAGAGCAAGCAUGCUGUCAAGCCAAGAACAGCACAUCCUCAUCUACAUCCAUUUGAAUUUGAACGUCUGUAGUGUGAUCCUUCCUAAGAAUCCUAACCCUUCUUAUGGUCUGAUUGGAUUAAAAAAAAUCAUAUGUUCAUGCCUGAUGCAAGUGAAGGUCAGCAUAGGCAUGUUGUUUGGUCACUAGUAUGCCAAUCAAUCACUAGCUAGAUUCUUGAUUCAAGAUAUGUAAAUUCUUUUAUGUGUACUGUGCCUUAUGUUUUCUGGAUGCUAAUCCUUUUUUUUAUUCA